rnacentral:rRNA from 1 species
UGGGGAAUCUUGCGCAAUGGCCGCAAGGCUGACGCAGCGACGCCGCGUGUGGGAUGACGGCCUUCGGGUUGUAAACCACUGUCAGGGGGAACGAAUACACGCUUCGGGCGUGGGUGACGGUACCUCCAAAGGAAGCACCGGCUAACUCCGUGCCAGCAGCCGCGGUAAUACGGAGGGUGCGAGCGUUGUCCGGAAUCACUGGGCGUAAAGGGCGCGUAGGUGGCCCGUUAAGUGGCUGGUGAAAUCCCGCGGCUCAACUGCGGGGCUGCCGGUCAUACUGGCGAGCUAGAGCACGGUAGGGGCAGAUGGAAUUCCCGGUGUAGCGGUGGAAUGCGUAGAGAUCGGGAAGAAUACCAGUGGCGAAGGCGUUCUGCUGGGCCGUUGCUGACACUGAGGCGCGACAGCGUGGGGAGCAAACAGGAUUAGAUACCCGCGUAGUCC